rnacentral:lncRNA from 1 species
CCGGCCUCUCCAUCGAGUGAUGCAUGCAGCCAUUUUAUUGAUAACGCAAAAUGGUCCGAGACAAAACUACAAAGUAGUCUGAGAAAAGAGAAAAACAAGACAAAAGAAAUUACACGGCGAUCAGACCACCGAAAAGCCGACUACAACCCAUAGAUAAGCUGGGCUAAGGACCAAUCCUAUUAGCAUGCCGCCAUCCAUAUCGGUUGAAGAUAACCUGAGCUACCAUCUCCC